rnacentral:rRNA from 1 species
UACGAAGGGGGCUAGCGUUGUUCGGAAUCACUGGGCGUAAAGCGCACGUAGGCGGAUCUUUAAGUCAGAGGUGAAAUCCCAAGGCUCAACCUUGGAACUGCCUUUGAUACUGGAGAUCUUGGGUCCGGGAGAGGUGAGUGGAACUGCGAGUGUAGAGGUGAAAUUCGUAGAUAUUCGCAAGAACACCAGUGGCGAAGGCGGCUCACUGGCCCGGUACUGACGCUGAGGUGCGAAAGCGUGGGGAGCAAACAGG